UGGUGGAGUGAUUUGUCUGGUUAAUUCCGUUAACGAACGAGACCUCGACCUGCUAAAUAGUUUGAUCAAGACUUCUGUCUUGAUUACUAACUUCUUAGAGGGACUAUUGGUGCGUAGCCAGUGGAAGUUCGAGGCAAUAACA
rnacentral:rRNA from 1 species